CUUACACAUGCAAGUCGAGGGGUAUCCUAGCAAUAGGAGAGACCGGCGCACGGGUGCCUAACGCGUAUGCCAUCUACCUUUCACAAAGGGAUAGCCCAGAGAAAUUUGGAUUAAUACCUUAUAGUAUAGCGAGUUCGCAUGGAUUUGCUAUUAAAGAUUUAUCGGUGAAAGAUGAGCAUGCGUCCCAUUAGCUAGUUGGUAAGGUAACGGCUUACCAAGGCUACGAUGGGUAGGGGUCCUGAGAGGGAGAUCCCCCACACUGGUACUGAGACACGGACCAGACUCCUACGGGAGGCAGCAGUGAGGAAUAUUGGUCAAUGGGCGCAAGCCUGAACCAGCCAUGCCGCGUGCAGGAUGACGGUCCUAUGGAUUGUAAACUGCUUUUGUACAGGAAGAAACACUCGGACGUGUCCGAGCUUGACGGUACUGUAAGAAUAAGGAUCGGCUAACUCCGUGCCAGCAGCCGCGGUAAUACGGAGGAUCCAAGCGUUAUUCGGAAUCAUUGGGUUUAAAGGGUCCGUAGGCGGCUUAAUAAGUCAGUGGUGAAAUCCCUACGCUUAACGUAGGAACGGCCAUUGAUACUGUUAGGCUUGAAUUAUUAGGAAGUAACUAGAAUAUGUAGUGUAGCGGUGAAAUGCUUAGAGAUUACAUGGAAUACCAAUUGCGAAGGCAGGUUACUACUAAUUGAUUGACGCUGAUGGACGAAAGCGUGGGUAGCGAACAGGAUUAGAUACCCUGGUAGUCCACGCCGUAAACGAUGGAUACUAGCUGUUGGGAGCAAUCUCAGUGGCUAAGCGAAAGUGAUAAGUAUCCCACCUGGGGAGUACGUUCGCAAGAAUGAAACUCAAAGGAAUUGACGGGGGCCCUGCACAGCGGUGGAGCAUGUGGUUUAAUUCGAUGAUACGCGAGGAACCUUACCCAGGCUUAAAUGUAGAUU
rnacentral:rRNA from 1 species